CCCACGUCGCGGCGCAUGCGCUCCCGACGACGCCGGUGGCCCCGCCUGUCUCCGAGAACCACCCGCCGGGCAACAUUCCGCGGAGGCACGCCGGGUAUAGACAUACAUCGGGGUGCGAUGCAUGCGCGUUAGAGCAAGCGCACAGUGGAAGACACUACAUUAAGGCAAGAGGAAGGCCCAGACCACGCCGCGCUCCUCGUUGCGAGCUUGAGUUUGGAAGGUGGUGAUUGAUCUAAAGGUUAAGGUGUUAGCCAUGGAUACUGAAUAAGGAGUCUGCCGAACAAUUAGUAAUAAUAUGGAUAAAACAUUGCCAUGAUUGCAAUAGCAUUAGAAAACAUGAUGUUGACAUUUUGAUGUCCAUUGCUGUUCUCGUUAUGUUUCUCGUGGUG